rnacentral:snRNA from 1 species
GUGCUUGCUUCGGCAGCACAUAUACUAAAUUGGAACGAUACAGAGAAGAUUAGCAUGGCCUCUGCUCAAGGAUGACAUGCAAAUUCCUUUUAUUUUU